CAGCCGCCGCGGUAAUACGUAGGUGGCAAGCGUUGUCCGGAAUUAUUGGGCGUAAAGGGCUCGCAGGCGGUUUCUUAAGUCUGAUGUGGAAGCCCCCGGCUCAACCGGGGAGGGUCAUUGGAAACUGGGAAACUUGAGUGCAGAAGAGGAGAGUGGAAUUCCACGUGUAGCGGUGAAAUGCGUAGAGAUGUGGAGGAACACCAGUGGCGAAGGCGACUCUCUGGUCUGUAACUGACGCUGAGGAGCGAAAGCGUGGGGAGCGAACAGGAUUAGAUACCCCCGUAGUCCCUGUCUCUUAUAC
rnacentral:rRNA from 1 species